UACGUAGGGCGCAAGCGUUGUCCGGAAUUAUUGGGCGUAAAGAGCUCGUAGGCGGUCUGUCACGUCUGCCGUGAAAACCCGAGGCUUAACCUCGUGGCUUGCGGUGGAUACGGGCAGACUAGAGGUAGGUAGGGGAGAACGGAAUUCCCGGUGUAGCGGUGAAAUGCGCAGAUAUCGGGAGGAACACCGGUGGCGAAGGCGGUUCUCUGGGCCUUACCUGACGCUGAGGAGCGAAAGCAUGGGGAGCGAA
rnacentral:rRNA from 1 species